UACAGAGGGGGCCAGCGUUGUUCGGAUUUACUGGGCGUAAAGGGCGCGUAGGCGGCCACCGCAAGUCGACUGUGAAAUCUCCGGGCUUAACCCGGAAAGGUCAGCCGAUACUGCGGGGCUAGAGUGCAGAAGGGGCAACUGGAAUUCUCGGUGUAGCGGUGAAAUGCGUAGAUAUCGAGAGGAACACCUGCGGCGAAGGCGGGUUGCUGGGCUGACACUGACGCUGAUGUGCGAAAGCUAGGGGAGCGAACGGG
rnacentral:rRNA from 1 species